UGGUGGAGUGAUUUGUCUGGUUAAUUCCGUUAACGAACGAGACCUCGACCUGCUAAAUAGUUUUGCGAAUUCUUCGGGAUUCGAAAAACUUCUUAGAGGGACUAUCGGUGUGUAACCGAUGGAAGUUCGAGGCAAUAACA
rnacentral:rRNA from 1 species